rnacentral:rRNA from 1 species
UUGGACCUGAUAUCAGACAGCUACCC